rnacentral:rRNA from 1 species
UCCGUAGGUGAACCUGCGGAAGGAUCAUUAAAAAGACCCCCUACGCCCGGGCGACCGGGCGUGCGGACCCACCCUUUGUCUUUGGCGCACCCUACGUUUCCCCGGCAGGUCCGCCUGCCAACGGGGACCCCAAUAAAAACCUUUUCGUAGUAUGCAGUAAACGUUAACAUACAAUAAUCAAAACUUUCAACAACGGAUCUCUUGGUUCUGGCAUCGAUGAAGAACGCAGCGAAAUGCGAUAAGUAGUGUGAAUUGCAGAAUUCAGUGAAUCAUCGAAUCUUUGAACGCACAUUGCGCCCUUUGGUAUUCCUUAGGGCAUGCCUGUUCGAGCGUCAUCUAACCCUUCAAGCAUCGCUUGGUGUUGGGCGCUUGUCCCGCCCCCGCGCGUGGACUCGCCUUGAAAGCAUUGGCAGCCUGUGUAUUGGCUUCGAGCGCAGCAGACUCGCGUCUCGUCCCCUCUCCGCGCAGGCGUCCAGGAAGCGAACCCCCAAAUUUUGACCUCGGAUCAGGUAGGGAUACCCGCUGAACUUAAGCAUAUCAAUAAGCGGAGGA